rnacentral:rRNA from 1 species
AGGACGAACGCUGGCGGCGUGCUUAACACAUGCAAGUCAAGGGGGCCCGCAAGGGCAACCGGCGAACGGGUGCGUAACACGUGAGCAACCUGCCGAAUGCGUGGGGGAUAGCCGGCCCAACGGCCGGGUAAUACCGCAUACGUUCCUCUGGGGGAGUCCCUGGGGGAGGAAAGCUGUGGCGUAAGCCAUGGCGCGCGUCGAGGGGCUCGCGGCUUAUCAGCUAGUUGGUGUGGGUAACGCCCACCAAGGCGACGACGAGUA